AUUGAACGCUGGCGGCAGGCCUAACACAUGCAAGUCGAACGAGUGGCGGACGGGUGAGUAAUGUCUGGGAAACUGCCCGAUGGAGGGGGAUAACUACUGGAAACGGUAGCUAAUACCGCAUACCCUCGGAUGUGCCCAGCUGGGAUUAGCUAGUAGGUGGGGUAAUGGCUCACCUAGGCGACGAUCCCUAGCUGGUCUGAGAGGAUGACCAGCCACAUGGGAACUUGGAAGCGGGCAAGACUCCUGCGGUGGGCAGCAGGGGGGAAUAUUGCACAAUGGGCGCAAGCCGGAUGCAGCCACGCCGCGUGUAUGAAGAAGGCCUUCGGGUUGUAAAGUACUUUCAGCGGGGAUGCGUUACCCGCAGAAGAAGCACCGGCUAACUCCGUGCCAGCCGCCGCGGUAAUUC
rnacentral:rRNA from 1 species